rnacentral:rRNA from 1 species
UGCGCAGGCGGAAUGAUAAGUCAGUGGUGAAAGCCUACAGCUUAACUGUAGAAUUGCCAUUGAUACUGUCGUUCUGGAGUACAGUUGAAGUGGGCGGAAUGUGUCAUGUAGCGGUGAAAUGCAUAGAUAUGACACAGAACACCGAUAGCGAAGGCAGCUCACUAAGCUGAAACUGACGCUCAUGCACGAAAGCGUGGGGAGCAAACAGGAUUAGAUACCCUGGUAGUCC